rnacentral:rRNA from 1 species
ACUUGAAUUGAAGAGUUUGAUCAUGGCUCAGAUUGAACGCUGGCGGCAGGCUUAACACAUGCAAGUCGAACGGUAGCAGGAGAAAGCUUGCUUUCUUGCUGACGAGUGGCGGACGGGUGAGUAAUGCUUGGGAAUCUGGCUUAUGGAGGGGGAUAACGACGGGAAACUGUCGCUAAUACCGCGUAUUAUCGGAAGAUGAAAGUGCGGGACUGAGAGGCCGCAUGCCAUAGGAUGAGCCCAAGUGGGAUUAGGUAGUUGGUGGGGUAAAUGCCUACCAAGCCUGCGAUCUCUAGCUGGUCUGAGAGGAUGACCAGCCACACUGGAACUGAGACACGGUCCAGACUCCUACGGGAGGCAGCAGUGGGGAAUAUUGCGCAAUGGGGGGAACCCUGACGCAGCCAUGCCGCGUGAAUGAAGAAGGCCUUCGGGUUGUAAAGUUCUUUCGGUAUUGAGGAAGGUUGAUGUGUUAAUAGCACAUCAAAUUGACGUUAAAUACAGAAGAAGCACCGGCUAACUCCGUGCCAGCAGCCGCGGUAAUACGGAGGGUGCGAGCGUUAAUCGGAAUAACUGGGCG